CCUACGGGAGGCAGCAGUGAGGAAUAUUGGUCAAUGGACGAGAGUCUGAACCAGCCAAGUAGCGUGAAGGAUGACUGCCCUAUGGGUUGUAAACUUCUUUUAUAAAGGAAUAAAACGAGGCACGUGUGCCUUUUUGCAUGUACGUUAUGAAUAAGGAUCGGCGAACGCCGGGCCAGCAGCCGCGGUAAUACGGAGGGUGCGAGCGUUAAUCGGAAUUACUGGGCGUAAAGAGCGAGUAGGCGGUAUGUCAAGUCAAGGGUGAAAUCCCCGCGCUCAACGUGGGAACUGCCUUUGAAACUGGCAAACUUGAGUGUGUGAGAGGAUAGUGUAAUUCCAGGUGUAGGCGUGAACUCCGUAGAUAUCUGGAGGAACAUCAGUGGCGAAGGCGACUCUCUGGCUCAUACCUGACGCUGAGGCGCGACAGCGUGGGUAGCAAACAGGAUUAGAUACCCUUGUAGUC
rnacentral:rRNA from 1 species